rnacentral:tRNA from 1 species
GCCGGCGUGGCAGAGAGGUCAUGCGCCGCUUUUACACAGCGGUCUGAGGCCAGUUCGAGUCUGGCCGCCGGUACCA